rnacentral:rRNA from 1 species
CCCUUAGAUGUUCUGGGCCGCACGCGUGCUACACUGAGUGGAUCAGCGGGUCAGGUUGCGCGAAAGUGUUUCCUAAUCUUGAAAUCCGCUCGUGAUGGGGAUUGACGGUUGCAAUUUUCCGUCAUGAACGAGGAAUACCUUGUAAGCGCGGGUCAUCAUCCCGCGCUGAAUACGUCCUUGCCCUUUGUACACACCGCCCGUCGCUCCUACCGAUUGAGUGGUCCGGUGAGGCUUUGGGAUCUGAGCGGAAAGAGCGUUUCGCUGUUUCUGCUCGGAAAACUCAGUCGAACCUUAUCAUUUAGAGGAAGGAGAAGUCGUAACA